CAAUCCAUCGUCGUACGGUGGUGACUACAAGUGCACCCGCAGCUGGCUACUGUUGCGUCUUUCAGCAGGAAGAGCCUCAUCCCUCGCGACACAGGAUACGUGGCAGCCAAGAAGCAUCUUCCAUCGCAGAUGACAAGUGGGAGCGACUAGUAUAGAAUCUGAGCUUACAGUGCAAAAAUAGAAAAAAGUGACAUGGGCCGUCGGAUUAGAAAUCGAUGGCACAUAUUCUGGAGUGUGGGAUCUGUACUCACGGUCACAAAAGUUUGUGUAGAAAGGUCCCCCGAUUCUGAAUAAUUAUGUGCAAACGACUGAACCCUCUCGCACAUCUCCGUUCUCUUUGCCGGCUGUGGCGGCGAUCCAGAUCCGGCGGGAGGCCGCCGCCGUGCGUGGCCCCUCCCCUAACUACUCCGCCACCCAGGCCGUCUGGAUCCAUCUCCGGGCACCCCGACGUCGCGCUCCACAUCAUCAUCUCGGCCACAUCCAGCUCUGCCACGGUCUGCUCCACAGGAGCACCACCCGACCUUCACCGUGCUGGACUAUAUGACGGGUUGGUGAUUGGUCGGAAGUCCCACAUCACGGACGUGUUCGCGAUGACGCAGAUCGACGGCCGCAUGUGCCAGGUCCUCGAUCACCAUGAUGGAUGAUGCUUUAACAACCAGAAGCAUCAGGAGUACAUAUGGAGAGAAGAAGCGCUUAGCAUAGGCUUCCCUUGCUUACAAUUGCAGGAGCAAAACUCAUUUGUCUGCAUGAUAAUUUAAAUCCUUUGUUGUCGGUCAUGUGCUAUAAAUGGUCCUGUCAUGUUAAUCAGGCCAUGUAUAUGGAUCAGAGUGGACCAGAAAUAGAAUACCUUGUGAAAUUCAUUUUCGCCAUCCUAUUGAGAUGUGGGUGUUUAUUACUAGAGAAGCUUAAUGUUGACUUUAAUUUAGUGUUGCAUAAUAGUUAUAAAUGAAUUUAGUAGUUUUCUUGUUUAA